rnacentral:rRNA from 1 species
UACGUAGGGUGCGAGCGUUAAUCGGAAUUACUGGGCGUAAAGUGUGCGCAGGCGGCACCGCAAGUCGAGUGUGAAAGCCCCGGGCUUAACUUGGGAAUUGCGCUCGAAACUAUGGUGCUGGAGUGUGGCAGAGGAAGGUGGAAUUCCAGGUGUAGCGGUGAAAUGCGCAGAUAUCAGGAGGAACACCAAUUGCGAAGGCAGCUCGCUGGGACGUUACUGACGCUGAGACGCGAAAGCGUGGGGAGCAAACAGG